GACGAACGCUGGCGGCGUGCUUAACACAUGCAAGUCGAACGGAAAGGCCCUGCGUUUGUGGGGUUCUCGAGUGGCGAACGGGUGAGUAACACGUGAGUAACCUGCCCUUGACUUUGGGAUAACUUCAGGAAACUGGGGCUAAUACCGGAUAGGAGCUCCUGCUGCAUGGUGGGGGUUGGAAAGUUUCGGCGGUUGGGGAUGGACUCGCGGCUUAUCAGCUUGUUGGUGGGGUAGUGGCUUACCAAGGCUGUGACGGGUAGCCGGCCUGAGAGGGUGACCGGCCACAUUGGGACUGAGAUACGGCCCAGACUCCUACGGGAGGCAGCAGUGGGGAAUAUUGCACAAUGGGCGGAAGCCUGAUGCAGCAACGCCGCGUGCGGGAUGACGGCCUUCGGGUUGUAAACCGCUUUCGCCUGUGACGAAGCGUGAGUGACGGUAAUGGGUAAAGAAGCACCGGCUAACUACGUG
rnacentral:rRNA from 1 species